rnacentral:rRNA from 1 species
AUGAAUGCUGGCGGCGUGCCUAAUACAUGCAAGUCGAGCGAACAGACGAGGAGCUUGCUCCUCUGACGUUAGCGGCGGACGGGUGAGUAACACGUGGAUAACCUACCUAUAAGACUGGGAUAACUUCGGGAAACCGGAGCUAAUACCGGAUAAUAUAUUGAACCGCAUGGUUCAAUAGUGAAAGACGGUUUUGCUGUCACUUAUAGAUGGAUCCGCGCCGCAUUAGCUAGUUGGUAAGGUAACGGCUUACCAAGGCGACGAUGCGUAGCCGACCUGAGAGGGUGAUCGGCCACACUGGAACUGAGACACGGUCCAGACUCCUACGGGAGGCAGCAGUAGGGAAUCUUCCGCAAUGGGCGAAAGCCUGACGGAGCAACGCCGCGUGAGUGAUGAAGGUCUUCGGAUCGUAAAACUCUGUUAUUAGGGAAGAACAAAUGUGUAAGUAACUAUGCACGUCUUGACGGUACCUAAUCAGAAAGCCACGGCUAACUACGUG